UUAAUUGAAGAGUUUGAUCAUGGCUCAGAUUGAACGCUGGCGGCAGGCUUAACACAUGCAAGUCGAGCGGUAACACAGGAGAGCUUGCUCUCUGGGUGACGAGCGGCGGACGGGUGAGUAAUGUCUGGGAAACUGCCUGAUGGAGGGGGAUAACUACUGGAAACGGUAGCUAAUACCGCAUAACGUCGCAAGACCAAAGAGGGGGACCUUCGGGCCUCUUGCCAUCAGAUGUGCCCAGAU
rnacentral:rRNA from 1 species